GUAAGCAAUAUUACUCUAGUAAAUUAAUUAGCUUAUUUUUAUUCUUAAUUAAUGUUGACAGUUGUCUUUUUCUGGUUUCGCAGAUUCCGUUAUAUCCCGCGGCAAUUUUUCAGGGUGAAACCGAUGGGGAAGGAAUAAGUUUUGUUUUGUAUUUUAAGCUUUCCGAAAGCUAUGCCAAGGAACUUCCAACCAAUUUUCAAGAAAGUAUUAGAAGAUUAAUUGAUGAUGAGGUAGAAAAAGUUAAAGGCUUUCCCAUAGACGCAAUUGUACCCUACAGGGAGAGGUUAAAGAUAUUGGGCCGUGUAGCAAAUGUGGAAGACCUUCGUCUAAGUGGAGCUGAAAGGAAACUCAUGCAUGCAUACAAUGAAAAACCUGUUCUUUCACGCCCUCAACAUGAAUUUUACUUGCAUGUAGUUCACCGAAGUACAGUUCAAUUAUUCGUGAAGAA